AACCCAUGGUGAGGGUACCUUCUUAAUAGGUCCUUAUAUCUCUCCCAUGCAUCAUAGAGUGUUUCUAGAUCCAUCUGCACGAAAGAAGAGAUAUCAUUCCUCAACUU
rfam:Gossypium arboreum cultivar AKA8401 contig_75911_1, whole genome shotgun sequence.